CACGAACGCUGGCGGCGGGCUUAACACAUGCAAGUCGAGUGCCCCGUAAGGGGAGCGGCAGACGGGUGAGUAACGCGUGGGAAUCUACCCAUCUCUACGGAAUAACGCAUGGAAACGUGUGCUAAUACCGUAUAUGUCCUUCGGGAGAAAGAUUUGUCGGAGAUGGAUGAGCUCGCGGUGGAUUAGGUAGUUGGUGGGGUAAAGGCCUACCAAGUCGACGAUCCAUAGCUGGUCUGAGAGGAUGAUCAGCCACACUGGGACUGAGACACGGCCCAGACUCCUACGGGAGGCAGCAGUGAGGAAUAUUAGACAAUGGGGGCAAGCCUGAUCCAGCCAUGCCGCGUGAGUGAUGAAGGCCCUAGGGUUGUAAAGCUCUUUCACCGGUGAAGAUAAUGACGGUAACCGGAGAAGAAGCCCCGGCUAACUUCGUGCCAGCCGCCGCGGUAAGAC
rnacentral:rRNA from 1 species